ACCUAAAGACACACAUAAACACUUCAAUGAGCAUUCUUCAAAUCUCAUUCACUGAUAAUGUGUGAAAUGGAACACCUUAAUGUUUAAUUCAAGAGGGGACAAGAUUGUUGAACUCCACAGUCAAAAAGGAAAUAUGAAAAGAAGGUAUGGGUAAAAGCAAAAAUGGCCCUUCUUUGUGGAAAAUUUCAUUAAAAACUAUGAAAGCUAAGAAGUUUGUGACUAUGUUGUUCUGUUGUAAAACAGAGUGGGUGAACAAAGAAAAGAAGAAUCGUUUUGCCAUAGAAGAAAAGAAGAGGAUCUAUAUGAGACAGAGAAGGAUUUGAAAAGAGACGAAG
rnacentral:lncRNA from 1 species